rnacentral:lncRNA from 1 species
GUGAGAUGAAUUUUAAUAUAGACUUUCAUAAAUAAAAAGCCAGAUUUAACAUAUUCGUGUGUUAGAUUUUGAAAAUCUUAUUGAGUCACACUGAAUAUGUGGAUUGAUUUUUGAUUGCUUGCUUAACGUCCAGUGGCAAAUAUUUCAUGCAUGUUCAGGACGAUAAACGCUGAAUAGGAAAUCAUACUGUAACCUACAUGUAUUUAUAUUCGUCUUCGUGUCAGUUCUUAACUUUUUUAAAUUUAUGUAUACCUUUUACUCUAUCAAAUGAUCAACUAAUAAGAUAAUCUUAUAUUCUAUUGAAUAACAUUAACGUAACUCAGAAAAGGGUCG